CCACUCCUACGGGGGGCAGCAGUGAGGAAUAUUGGUCAAUGGGCGGGAGCCUGAACCAGCCACGUCGCGUGAAGGAAGAAGGUACUUAGUAUUGUAAACCUCUUUUGUCGGGGAACAAAGGCGGAGACGCGUCUCCGGAUGAGUGUACCCGAAGAAAAAGCAUCGGCUAACUCCGUGCCAGCAGCCGCGGUAAUACGGAGGAUGCGAGCGUUAUCCGGAUUUAUUGGGUUU
rnacentral:rRNA from 1 species